CCUGGUUGGAUUUUUCUCAGGUUUUUGCCUGCCAUAUGAGUUCUGUUAUACUCACAGACAUCAUUCAAACAGUAGUAAUACUAAUAAUAUGCAUAUCCUACCUUCUGAGUCUGAGUAGGAGGCAGUUUAAUUUGGGUACGUUUUUCAUCCGGCUGUGAAAAUACUGCCCCCUAUAGUGAAGAGGAUAAGGACUUGCAGCGAGUUGUGAACUUCAUCAACAACUAUGCAUAGGAAAAUGCAAUAGUAUUACGAGAAUGCCACCCUUGACACAAACACUUUGGUGGAAAGUGUCUCUACAAGGACACUUGAUAAACACUUGGUAUGUAAAGCAUGAACAACACACAUUUUGAUUAUUUUAUUUACUUCCAACAUAAAUUGCCACAACAUUUAUUGAUCUCACAUUAUUUUUGUGUUUUUCAGAGGUAUGUGUAGUCUAGCUGUCUUCCUUCAGGAAUCUGUGGAGAGAAUUGCUGCCCCACAUCUUAAGCACUAAGCCUAGGACAGACCUGUGUUGGCAGUGCGGGAAGAAAAACUAUCAGGUCUUCAGAUCUGCCAAUCUGCCAGAAGCUGUUAAAUCAGCCAAGCUGAAGAAGGAAGAGCAACAUCUCCUGCUUGUUCAGAGUGAGUGCUCUGUCUACCAGAAGAUGGAUGCUGACUGCAAGACCACCUGUCAAGACCUGCAGCUGUCUCUGGGGGGCUAUACUGAACCAGCAAGCUGAUUUUGCUCAGCAAGACCUGAGCCCUUGGACCAUGCCUCAGGACUACCUGGCAUGAUGACUCCUUGCUGUCCCCAGUCCACCUGGCCAUGCUGCUGCUCCAGUUUCAACUGUUCUGCCUGCGGCUAUGGAACCCUGACCUGUUCACCAGAUGUGCUACCUGUCCCAG
rnacentral:lncRNA from 1 species